rnacentral:rRNA from 1 species
CAAGCCUGAUCCAGCAAUUCUGUGUGCACGAUGAAGGUCUUCGGAUUGUAAAGUGCUUUCAGUUGGGAAGAAGAAAGUGACGGUACCAACAGAAGAAGCGACGGCUAAAUACGUGCCAGCAGCCGCGGUAAU